GACGAACGCUGGCGGCGUGCUUAACACAUGCAAGUCGAACGGAAAGGCCCUGCUUUUGUGGGGUGCUCGAGUGGCGAACGGGUGAGUAACACGUGAGUAACCUGCCCUUGACUUUGGGAUAACUUCGGGAAACCGGAGCUAAUACCGGAUAACACCGAAAACCGCAUGGUUUUCGGUUGAAAGGCGGCUUUUAGCUGUCACUGCAGGAUGGGCCCGCGGCGCAUUAGCUAGUUGGUGAGGUAACGGCUCACCAAGGCGACGAUGCGUAGCCGACCUGAGAGGGUGACCGGCCACACUGGGACUGAGACACGGCCCAG
rnacentral:rRNA from 1 species